rnacentral:lncRNA from 1 species
AUUUAGUGCAUUUUACGCAACAUAGAAAGGACUUUAUUUUUCCCACAGCUCUAAAACAGGUGGCCAAAAUUAGGUGGCCUUAGAUUGAAAUCAAAGUUGUCUGCAAACACUACUUGUUUGCUAUUUUUUGUCACAGAUUCAAGGGUUCUGAUACAUUAUGAAAAAACCCAAAACUGCAGAACAUAAUGAGAAACUCCUAAAAAUGCACAAAUCACAUUUUAAUCUCCUUUAAAAUUUUCCAAGCUGCUGGGUACCUGCAUUGUGCCUUUCUAGCUCAUCUAAGCCAUGCAUUGCAACUCCUUUCCUUGGAAGUGCACUGAUGAAAGACCUGUCUGCAUUUCAGAAGCUCCAACACAAUGCUAUUGCAUAUCCCAGGAGGGCUGCACUCAUCUUGUCAGAGGUGUUCCAUAGAUUAUAAAAGCUACUCACAGCUGCUGAAGUAAGAUUUGGAACUCACAUAUCCUUCCUUUUAGGUACGUGUGUUAUUUACUGGGUCACAGGGAGUGGUAAUAACUAGGUUGUAUGUGGCAGAUGGAGUACCUACAUUGUAGUUACUCCUUUGGCAAAUGGAAAUCUGUUUUAUCAAAGUGAAAUAGUUUCAAAAAAAUAAGAUAUCUUAAUGUGAGUCUUGUCCUUUUUCCUGAAAAUUCAUUAAAAAGCUGUUUAGAAACUGCUCAGUAUUCCUCGUUAAAAAGCUUCUUAGAUACUGCCCUCUGGGCUUAUCUUCCUUUAGCCAUCCCACUUUCUACUGUUGCUGUUAGUAAAGUGUUUAUAAGACAACCAAGCAGCUCUAUUUGUGUUUGAAAGAGGUCCUCUUUUUAAUUACACA